rnacentral:misc_RNA from 1 species
AACUUUGUUGGUUUGUUUACAGGGGAAGACAUGGUUACAAGAAAGAUGAAAGAUCACUUAACCAUUUUCUUUGCCCUAGGAACAUUUCGAUUUCAGCCGGAAUUAGAUUUGAUUCCUCCCAAGUUCUAUGAUGGAUCUUGAAUUGUAUAAUUUGUUCGUUUGAUGGUUCCCCACCUGCCAAUAUGUGUUGAAUCAAUGGUGGGUAGCAAAUCUAAACUGAUGGGGA